GGAUGUGUGUAGUCUACAUGUGAUGGUUCACCUGAUAGAGGAUGUGUGUAGUCUACAUGUGAUGGUUCACCUGAUAGAGGAUGUGUGUAGUCUACAUGUGAUGGUUCACCUGAUAGAGUCUAGGAUGUGUGUAGACUACAUGUGAUGGUUCACCUGAUAGAGUCGAGGAUGUGUGUAGUCUACAUGUGAGGGUUCACCUGAUAGAGUCGAGGAUGUGUGUAGUCUACAUGUGAGGGUUCACCUGAUAGAGAGAAGGACUGGAGCACACAGCAAUACGAAUAUUAGUGUGGAGUGAUAACAUUACUAGUUGUGAGAGUCUCCUUUUCCCCGGCUGAGCUGAGAUGGACGUGCGUCUGACCCGUUCCACUGGGGGAGAACCCAGAGGAGUAUCAGCUAAGGAUCAUGGGAGAUAGAAUCCGGAGACAAGUGCUGACUUCCUACAAAGAGGAGCUGGUCAGAGCUGCACAGAGUACUCCUGUGUUUCAGAGACCUACAGUGGGUCCCCUUCAUAGGUCAAGAACACUCAACUGAACUAUUCUGAUGUAUGUAGAUGGAAGGGCUUUGGUGAUGGAUCAUGUAUCGUGAUGCAAUUAUAAAACUUUAAUUAUGAAUCAUUUGGAAACAUUUUUUUAUUUUACUAGGCAUAAGUCUAUCUCUUAUGUAUUACUUUGCAAAACAAUGUUUGCUCAUUAGGUCUACU